CCGCGCAACGCCCGCCGGGAGUCGGUCGGAGCCGCCAAGAUGUCGCAGCCCAAGAGAAGAAAGCUUGAGUCGGGGGGUGGCGGCGAAGGAGGGGAGGGAACUGAAGAGGAAGAUGGCGGAGAGCAGGAGGCGGCCCUGCCGCGACCCCGGAGGGCUAGGCGGGAGCGGGACCAGCUAUACUAUGACUGCUACUCAGACAUAUCGGUCCACGAGGAGAUGAUUGCGGACCGUGUCCGGACCGAUGCCUACCGCCUGGGCAUCCUGCGGAACUGGGCAGGACUACGGGGCAAGACUGUGCUGGACGUGGGCGCGGGCACCGGCAUUCUUAGCAUCUUCUGUGUGCAGGCCGGGGCCCGGCGCGUGUACGCGGUGGAGGCCAGCGCCAUUUGGCAGCAGGCCCGGGAGGUGGUGCGGCUCAACGGGCUGGAGGAUCGGGUGCACGUCCUGCCGGGCCCGGUGGAGACGGUGGAGUUGCCGGAGCAGGUGGAUGCCAUCGUGAGCGAGUGGAUGGGCUACGGACUCCUGCACGAGUCUAUGCUGAGCUCUGUGCUCUACGCGCGGACCAAGUGGCUGAAGGAGGGCGGUCUUCUCCUGCCGGCUUCCGCCGAGCUCUUCGUGGCGCCCAUCAGCGACCAGAUGCUGGAGUUGCGCCUGGGCUUCUGGAGCCAGGUGAAGCAGCUCUACGGGGUGGACAUGAGCUGUCUGGAGAGCUUCGCCACGCGCUGCCUUAUGGGCCACUCGGAGAUCGUGGUGCAGGGUUUGUCCGGGGAGGACGUACUGGCCCGGCCGCAGUGCUUUGCUCAGCUGGAGCUGGCCCGCACCGGCCUGGAGCAGGAACUGGAGGCUGGGGUGGGCGGGCGCUUCCGCUUCAGUUGCUACGGCUCAGCGCCCAUGCACGGCUUUGCCAUCUGGUUCCAGGUGACCUUCCCCGGAGGGGACUCGGAGAAACCGCUGGUGCUGUCCACCUCGCCUUUUCACCCCGUCACGCACUGGAAGCAGGCACUCCUCUACCUGAACGAGCCUGUGCAAGUGGAACAAGAUACGGACAUUUCCGGAGAGAUCACGCUGCUGCCCUCCCGGGAUAACCACCGUCUCCUGCGCGUGCUACUGCGCUACAAAGUAGGCGACCAGGAGGAAAAGACCAAAGACUUUGCCAUGGAGGACUGAGCGUUGCCUUUUCUCCCAGCUACCUCCCGAGGCGCCCAGACCUGCGUGGUAGAGGCGGCGGGGGGUCGGAGGAGAAAGGGAGAUCCCGCGUGCAAGUUUGUUUGGCAGUAUCAGCGUGGCUGUGUAUGACGGACAGUGUGUGACUGGACACCAGAUGAUCCAAGCCCUUUGGAGUGACAACACUUCCAGAAGGAUGAGAGCGUGACAUGCUCCAAUAUCCAGGCACUGUGCAGUCUCUGUGUGAGCUGGAUUGCCUAGGGUCAUUUGGACCACAGGAAUAACUGUCAGCCCUAGGGAGGGAAAACAUGAUGAAGUUCUACCUGCUUUCUUCAGACAGCUUACAUUUAUUUAGCCCUGUGAAACUUUCCAAAUAUUUAUGUUAAUUCACUGGACCAAUGGACAUUUUAUUGAGUAUACCAGAUAACAGUCAUUGUGAUAAGCACUUAGGUAUACAAACCAAUAAAACAUAGUUUUGCUUCCAAGUAGGUAUGUUCAUAGGAUAAACCAAAAAGGAAAAUACGUCAACGAUAAUGGGCUACUUGGGAUGCUGUAGGUGUUAGGGAGGGCAGAUGAUUACCUUCACUUUAUAUACUAGGAAAAAGACACAGAUAUUGAAGGAUUUCCCUAAGGUUAUAUAACUAAUUCUUAACAGUUGAACACAAGUAUCUUAAUUCCUAUCCCCAAACAACUUCUUAGUUUAAAAAAGUUCCAUUGGAGAUCUAUCUUGUAGACCUGAAAGAGCCACCUUCAGUAUAUAGUAUCUCAAGGUUGACAUUAUUAGGUAUUCAUAAAAUAUACCAUGUACCCGUUUCCCUAACAGGUCUAAGUGUGGCAUUCCUUCUGAGGCCCCCAAGAAACAAUGCUCACUGCAGUAGCAAAGAAAAGUCGAGCUCUGACUAUAGGUACUGGCAUCCAAUGAAAUAAGUGUUCACUCAUUUAAUGAUUUAAUAAACACCAACCAUCUAACAAUUAAGUUCUAUGAUAAAUAAGCAAAUGCUACCCUCAACUUGGAUACAGUAGGGGAAUAAAAUUACCUACAUCAGUAGUUUGCACACAUUCUUUAACCUGGAAAGACAUCAUCCAACUAAAUCUCACCUCUGCUGGAGCAAAGAUGAGAAGCCAGCCCUUUUGUCGGCUCUAACCUUAAAAUUCCUCUCAAGUGCAAAAGUGUUACUUGUCAUCACAUAGAUUAAGAGAUCCUCAGAGAAAAAUGUGAUGGUAAGGAGGACAAUGAUUAAUGAGACUAUUUCUCAAAAUUAUUAUAUAUGCUUGUAGGAUAAGACAUUUGAAACAAAAAAUCUGGACCUUACUAAAGCCAAAAUUUUAAUAAAAAGACAUGACGAGUAACAUUGGAAUUGUGCUUCUUUGGGAGCUUUGAUGAUAACAAUCAUCGUUAUUUCUAGUAAUAACUUGGAAUAAAGACUGAUGAAGAUUUCAGUUGAUCAAGUAGCUACCUUUCUAACUCUUAAAAACAAUCACUUAUAUGGGGUGCCUGGGUGGCUUAGUAGGUUAAGCAUCUGCCCUCAGCUCAGGUCAUGACCCCGGGGUCCUGGGAUCGAGAGUCCCACAUUGGGCUCCCUGCUCCUCCCUGCUCCUGGAGGAGUCUGCUUCUCCCUCUCCCUCUGCCCCUCCUCCUGCUUGUGCUCUCUUUCUCUCUCAAAUAUAUAAAAUCUUUUUUUAAAAAAAUUAAAAAUAAAAUAAAAAUCAGUUAUAACAGACAUUUUAGAACACAGAGAGCUGUAAGGAAAGAAAACAUUCCUCCUUUCUCCAGGCUGCCCCCUGCACAAAAAGGAAGGUGGGAUGGAAGUAAAUCCUCCCCAUACUUUUUAAAGUGCUUAACAGGCGUUCUUGCAAUCAUAUGAUGUACAUAUUUGUGAAAAUCACAUCACAUUCUGCAAAAUUGUGCACUAAAAGUAACUUAGAGAAAAUUGGUUGGGUGGACAAUCAAAACUUUGUAACCAGGAGUACUAAGAAUACCAAUAAAAAUAACAGCAGUUAAAAAAAGAUGUUAAUCCUAAUAACACUGCAGUAAUAAGACAGCCUGAUGGAAGAGCAAAAAGAAGAGUUCCUGAGACAAAGCAAAAUGUACAAAAAUGGAGUGGAGGUUUAAUAAACAUUUCAAGACCUAAAGCAUGUGGCCAAACCAUGCCAAGAGGAAGAACAUAGGGUGGGAUACAUUCCUUUUUGACUAGUUGUGUUCAAGUGUGUCAGUGUACUUUCUGUUCAAUGGUUGUUGCCUGGUAGUAUGAAUAAACCAACCAAUAUCCACACUAUGUUCUGACAUUGUUCUUCUACUUAUCAAUAUCAUUUGAGUUUAUUCAUUUACAGAAACAUGCAUGGCAGCAGAACAUUCUGUCCUUUGUUCAACUUCCAGAA